GGGCUUGUACCGGUUUCGACGGGGAUUUUGAAGUUAAGGAAGCCAUCCGUAGCGGGACACUACGUUAAAAGUUCCACACUAAAAGUAAACGCAGACAAUAGAUUAGCGUUAGCCGCUUAAUUGCGGCAGUCGGUCUUACGUAUUUCACCGCGGAAGUAACCGGCUUCAUGAAAGGUGAAGAACUCCGCCUCCAAAGCUUUGCGGAUACGGAAGAUUUAUGAAGCUACCGACGUCGUUUCGUUGUCAUUGAUGAAACGGCAGGGGGAAUCAAUUAACAAUGACUGUGAUGGGAGAUGCUUUAAUGAAUAGGUUUUCGGACGCGGGUUCAACUCCCGCCAGGUCCAGUU
rnacentral:tmRNA from 1 species